rnacentral:rRNA from 1 species
UACGGAGGAUCCGAGCGUUAUCCGGAUUUAUUGGGUUUAAAGGGUGCGUAGGCGGCCUUUUAAGUCAGCGGUGAAAGUCUGUGGCUCAACCAUAGAAUUGCCGUUGAAACUGGCUGUCUUGAGAUGUCGAGAGGUAUGCGGAAUGCGCAGUGUAGCGGUGAAAUGCUUAGAUAUUGCGCAGAACUCCGAUUGCGAAGGCAGCAUACCGGCGGCGAUCUGACGCUGAGGCACGAAAGCGUGGGUAUCGAACAGG